rnacentral:rRNA from 1 species
CCUACGGGUGGCAGCAGUGAGGAAUAUUGGUCAAUGGACGCAAGUCUGAACCAGCCAUGCCGCGUGCAGGCAGACGGCUCUAUGAGUUGUAAACUGCUUUUGUACGAGGGUAAACGCAGAUACGCGUAUCUGACUGCAAGUAUCGUACGAAUAAAGCUCGGGUAACUCCGUGCCAGCAGCCGCGGUAAUACGGAGGAGUCAAGCGUUAACCGGAUUUAUUGGGUUUAAAGAGUGCGUAGGCGGUCGGAUAAGUUAGAUGUGAAAUCCCGAGGCUCAACUUUGGAAUUGCCUCUGAUACUGUUCGGCUAGAGAGUAGUUGCGGUAGGCGGAAUGUAUGGUGUAGCGGUGAAAUGCUUAGAGAUCAUACAGAACACCGAUUGCGAAGGCAGCUUACCAAGCUACUUCUGACGUUGAGGCACGAAAGCGUGGGGAGCAAACAGGAUUAGAUACCCGGGUAGUC